GCCUGGGUGGCACAGCGGUUGAGCGUCUGCCUUCGGCUCAGGACGUGGGAUCGAGCCCCACGUCAGGCU
rnacentral:tRNA from 1 species